rnacentral:sRNA from 1 species
AAAAAAUUGUGUUUCAACCAUGUAUGUGAAACAUACAUAAAAGUGGGAUUAUCAGAGAGGGAAAUGAUAUAUCAUCAUAAGAAAAUGUUGAUAAAUUUAUAGAUAAUAAAAGAAUAUAUGAUUUUAAUUUCAAUUGUUAGAGAAAACACAAAAUUCGUUACCUCCGUAGAAUCGAGAGGUGAUUCAAGACGGGAAGUGGAUCAUGUCGAUGGUAGGAAGGGAAGAUGCUAUCAAAAGAAGAAUGAAAACCGAAAGGUGCAUUACCUCCAUUGUUGAAUUUUGAUUUCUCUCGGAAGCUCUUCUAUAAGUUUAAAGACAGUAUAGCUAAAGAAAUUUUUUGAGAAGAAACCAAGAAUGUGAAAUGUUGGUCUUUAAUAUUACUACUUAGGUAUACUUAAUGUAUAAACUUAAUUCAUUUACUCCAUACUAUUUUAGCUUAAUUUUCCUUUUUAAUUAUGACUCUAUGUUUUGUGUUUUCCCUUCUUUUGGUAUUUUAAUUU